rnacentral:rRNA from 1 species
GAUCCUGGCUCAGGAUGAACGCUAGCUACAGGCUUAACACAUGCAAGUCGAGGGGCAGCAUGGUCUUAGCUUGCUAAGGCCGAUGGCGACCGGCGCACGGGUGAGUAACGCGUAUCCAACCUGCCUUACACUCUUGGACAGCCUUCUGAAAGGGAGAUUAAUACAAGAUGUUAUCAUGAGUAAGCAUUUUCGCAUGAUUAAAGGUUUACCGGUGUAAGAUGGGGAUGGCGUU